UCGGACAUGGUGUACGGAACACUGCCCUUCUGCAGAAAAUAUAAGUAGCAAGGGGUAGUUUGGGGUUCGACUCCCCGUGUCCGAA